rnacentral:tRNA from 1 species
CUGGGCCUGCGGCGCGGCGAUCAGGGCGCCGACGCUGAUGGCGCCGGCCGACUGGCCGCACAGGGUGACCCGGUCGGGGUCGCCGCCGAAGGCCUCGA